UACAGAGGUCUCAAGCGUUGUUCGGAUUCAUUGGGCGUAAAGGGUGCGUAGGCGGCGCGGUAAGUCGGGUGUGAAAUCUUGGAGCUUAACUCCGAAACUGCAUUCGAUACUGCCGUGCUUGAGGACUGGAGAGGAGACUGGAAUUUACGGUGUAGCGGUGAAAUGCGUAGAUAUCGGGAGGAACACCUGUGGCGAAAGCGGCGCACUGGACCACAACUGACGCUGAUGUGCGAAAGCUAGGGGAGCAAACAGG
rnacentral:rRNA from 1 species